rnacentral:rRNA from 1 species
AAUAGAUACCCCGGUAGUCCACGCCGUAAACGAUGAGUGCUAAGUGUUGGUAGGGUUUCCCGCCCUUCAGUGCUGCAGCAAACGCAUUAAGCACUCCGCCUGGGGAGUACGACCGCAAGGUUGAAACUCAAAGGAAUUGGACGGGGGCCCGCACAAGCGGUGGAGCAUGUGGUUUAAUUCGAAGCAACGCGAAGAACCUUACCAGGUCUUGACAUCCUUUGACCACUCUAGAGAUAGAGCUUUCCCUUCGGGGACAAAGUGACAGGUGGUGCAUGGUUGUCGUCAGCUCGUGUCGUGAGACGUUGGGUUAAGUCCCGCAACGAGCGCAACCCUUAUUGUUAGUUGCCAUCAUUUGGUUGGGCACUCUAGCGAGACUGCCGGUGACAAACCGGAGGAAGGUGGGGAUGACGUCAAAUCAUCAUGCCCCUUAUGACCUGGGCUACACACGUGCUACAAUGGGAAGUACAACGAGUCGCGAAGUCGCGAGGCUAAGCUAAUCUCUUAAAGCUUCUCUCAGUUCGGAUUGUAGGCUGCAACUCCG